rnacentral:rRNA from 1 species
CCUACGGGUGGCAGCAGUGAGGAAUAUUGGUCAAUGGACGCAAGUCUGAACCAGCCAUGCCGCGUGCAGGAAGACGGCCCUAUGAGUUGUAAACUGCUUUUGUACGAGGGUAAAUGCAGAUACGUGUAUCUGUCUGCAAGUAUCGUACGAAUAAGGAUCGGCUAAUUCCGUGCCAGCAGCCGCGGUAAUACGGAGGGUUCAAGCGUUAUCCGGAUUUAUUGGGUUUAAAGGGUGCGUAGGCGGUCGGAUAAGUUAGAGGUGAAAUGCCGAGGCUCAACUGUGGAAUUGCCUCUGAUACUGGUGGGCUAGAGAGUAGGAGCGGUAGGCGGAAUGUAUGGUGUAGCGGUGAAAUGCUGAGAGAUCAGGCAGAACACCGAUUGCGAAGGCAGCCGACC